AUGUGCAAUCAUACCAACGUUAAUGCACCAUAUCCCAUCGAAACUCCACAGUUAAGCACGCUUGGGCUAGAGUAUUACUAGGAUGGGUGACCUCCUGCGAUGUCCUAGUGUUGCACCCC
rfam:Picea glauca, whole genome shotgun sequence.